rnacentral:rRNA from 1 species
AUUGAACGCUGGCGGCAGGCCUAACACAUGCAAGUCGAGCGGAUGAAGGGAGCUUGCUCCUGGAUUCAGCGGCGGACGGGUGAGUAAUGCCUAGGAAUCUGCCUGGUAGUGGGGGAUAACGUCCGGAAACGGGCGCUAAUACCGCAUACGUCCUGAGGGAGAAAGUGGGGGAUCUUCGGACCUCACGCUAUCAGAUGAGCCUAGGUCGGAUUAGCUAGUUGGUGGGGUAAAGGCCUACCAAGGCGACGAUCCGUAACUGGUCUGAGAGGAUGAUCAGUCACACUGGAACUGAGACACGGUCCAGACUCCUACGGGAGGCAGCAGUGGGGAAUAUUGGACCAUGCGCGAAAGCCUGAUCCAGCCAUGCCGCGUGUGUGAAGAAGGUCUUCGGAUUGUAAAGCACUUUAAGUUGGGAGGAAGGGCAGUAAGUUAAUACCUUGCUGUUUUGACGUUACCAACAGAAUAAGCACCGGCUAACUUCGUG